UUGUUUUUUUACCUAUCAAGAGACCGUUCAUUGUGACCUAGAAAUGGUGAUUGUGGUAAUAAAUUCUGGACAUUUGUUAUUCCCAAACAGGCAUUUCACAGGCUCCACCCACUCCAGUAUAGAGGGUCUUUGCAGAACCAUAUCUCCACGGCCUUUUAAAGAGUCUUAUUUCAAAAUAUAUGUUUGCUGAUUUGCGUAGAAAUAUUUCCUUGAAAGAAAUGUUGUUGGAGUCUCACUGUUGUGUUUUUGCUCUGGUCUUUGUGUUUGCCACAUUCUUCCCCCUCAUUACUUAAAUUUUAAAUUUUUAUUGAGUUUUUUUAUUUACAAUUCAUCUAAUUCUGAAAUCAUGAGUUCAGAUGGUUAUUUGUUCCUUGGGCCAUGUCCCAACACAGGCUGGAUGUCGAAUUGCCAAUACUUCAAUCCGAACAUGAGAGGAGAAUGAUGGCUAUGCAAAUGAUGACCAACUCAAUAAGUGAUGCCAUGGAGAGGUACAAGGAGCUCAUACAAGUGAACACUUUCUACCGCAUCAGGCACUCCCAGCUCCUGCGUGAACAAGCUCAAUUGAAGAACAAUAUACAGAUUUUACUGAAUGACAAGAGAGACCUGCUGGUGGAGCAGACUGAACUGCCAGCAUCCUAUGUGGAGGCAAAGAGGCUCUGUGAAGAGGCCGGAAUGAACAUCUGUGUCCCCAGAGCCAAGCAACAGCAGGUCUGAAAUUCUCCAGCAGAAACUCAAACAUGACAUAGACCAGGACAAGAUCUCCCUUGGUGAGAAGUGGUACAGGAGGAGCGCUAAGUGUGCACAGCAAAUACACCACUAUUGCAUCUCAUCUGUAAUGUCCAUAGCAAUUGUGGACUGCAUUUUCCUCCUUUAGUUUGAUUUCUUUGGAUUGAAUAGGCUGUACUUUCACCUCGCCUCUCUCCAGCAAGUGUACAGUUUUGGAGGGACCCAGAGAAGUGCUGAUGCACAUCAAUCAAGAGCUGCUGGUCAUCCAGAAAGACUGUGCACGUGUAAAUUUGUACUUUUCCUGAUGGGUCAUCCAAAAGGGUUUCAUGGAGAUCAGUUCACAACAUUGGAAAGACUUUGGGACAAAGACUGUGAUGUAUUUUAUACUCGGUAUUGGAUGGUCUUGUCCUUCAUACCCCACUCCAAUAGAAGAGACCUCCUUACAUUCCGCUUGAAAAGAUUAUUACCAUCAGUAACUGCUUGUCUAUUAUGUUCCAAGGCCAACUACGGGGUAUAAAUCUGUUCUGCAGAAUGAAUAGCAAAAGAAUGUUUAGCACAAUUCCUCUGUUUAGAUUUUGGUUUCAGUUUUGAUUAUUUUGGUUCUUUGGUUUUUCUUGUAUUCAUUUGAAAGUUUGUUAUUUAUUUGUUUUUGUUUUAUUCUUACAGUUGAUUAGCUAUUUUGAUAAGGAUAUAGACUGUAUAUAUUGACUACCCACAUCUGGU
rnacentral:lncRNA from 1 species